GGACCGGCACUGAGACACGGGCCGGACUCCUACGGGAGGCAGCAGGGGGGAAUCUUGGGCAAUGGGUGAAAGCCUGACCCAGCGACGCCGCGUGCGGGAAGAAGCCCUUCGGGGUGUAAACCGCUGUCGGGAGGGACAAAGAGCUCCCCAAAAGGGAGCUUGAUGGUACCUCCGGAGGAAGGGACGGCUAACUCCGUGCCAGCAGCCGCGGUAAUACGGAGGUCCCAAGGGUUGCCCGGAGUGACUGGGCGUAAAGGGUCCGUAGGCGGCCUGGUAAGUCUCCCGUGAAAGCUGCCCGCUCAACGGGCAGAGGUCGGGAGAUACUGCUGGGCUCGGGACCGGCAGGGGGGACCGGAAUUCCCGGUGUAGCGGUGAAAUGCGUAGAUAUCGGGAGGAACGCCGAUGCCGAAGGGGGGUCCCUAGGCCGGCUCCGACGCUGAGGGACGAAAGCUGGGGGAGCGAACCGGAUUAGAGACCCGGGUAGUCCCAGCCGUCAACGAUGGGUGCUAGGGGGCGGGGUAAAUCCUCGCGCCCGAAGCUAACGCGUUAAGCACCCCGCCUGGGGAGUACGGCCGCAAGGCCGAAACUCAAACGAAUUGACGGGGACCCGAACAAGCCGCGGUGCAUUUGGUUUAAUUCGAUGCAGCGCGAAGAACCUUACCCGGGCUUGACAUGCCAGCUCAAGCCUGCCCGAAAGGGUAAGGUGGGCUGGGCGAUAAGUCCAGCCAGCUGGCACAGGUGCUACAUGGCUGUCGUCAGCUCGUGCCGUGAGGCGUCGGGUUAAGUCCCAGAACGAGCGCAACCCCUGCCCGCUGUUGCCAUUCCCCGAGAGGAGAGGCACUCUGCGGGGACUGCCGGCGAAGAGUCGGAGGAAGGAGGGGACGACGUCAAGCCCGCAUGGCCCUUAUGCCCGGGGCUACACAAGUGCAACAAUGGCCGGGACAAAGGGAUGCAAAGCCGCAAGGCUGAGCAAAUCCCAAAAACCUGGCCCCAGUUCGGAUCGGGGUCUGCAACCCGACCCCGUGAAGCCGGAGUGGCUAGUAAUCGCGGAUCAGCUACGCCGCGGUGAAUACGUUCCCGGGUCCUGUACACACCGCCCGUCACGCCAUGGAAGUCACCUGCACAGGAAAUCCCCAAAAGGGACGAAUGUGUGGGUGGCGACUGGGGCGAAGUCGUAACAAGGUACCCCUACCGGAAGGUGGGGGUG
rnacentral:rRNA from 1 species